rnacentral:lncRNA from 11 species
UCCUCACCAGACUGUACAUCCCAGGAUACUGUAGGAUCGAACCAAGGUAGUUGAGGUGGCAUCAUAUCAUUAUAAUUGUACAAUGGUGAUAAACUUUUGACCGCAUCAAUGUAUUGCCUUGGGGGGGGGGGCAUCCACAGCCAAAUAGGACAAAUCUGAGUAUAGUCUCCAUGCUUUUUAAUUCCAAAGAUCAAUCUCCAGGCUAGCUCCUUGUAGCCAGUAGAACCCAGCUGCAGCCUACCUCUUGCAUGAUUCCACCCUCAAUUGCUU